AUUGAACGCUGGCGGCAGGCCUAACACAUGCAAGUCGAACGAGCGGCGGACGGGUGAGUAAUGUAUGGGGAACUGCCUGAUGGAGGGGGAUAACUACUGGAAACGGUAGCUAAUACCGCAUACCAUCAGAUGAACCCAUAUGGGAUUAGCUAGUAGGUGGGGUAACGGCGCACCUAGGCGACGAUCCCUAGCUGGUCUGAGAGGAUGAUCAGCAAAACUGGAACUGAGAAACGGCCCAGACUCCGACGGUAGGCAGCAGUGGGGAAUAUUGCACAAUGGGCGCAAGCCGGAUGCAGCCAUGCCGCGUGUAUGAAGAAGGCCUUCGGGUUGUAAAGUACUUUCAGUCGGGAGGCGUUACCGACAGAAGAAGCACCGGCUAACUCCGUGCCAGCAGCCGCGGUAAUAC
rnacentral:rRNA from 1 species